rnacentral:misc_RNA from 1 species
UACGGAGGGUGCAAGCGUUAAUCGGAAUGACUGGGCGUAAAGCGCACGCAGGCGGUCUGCUAAGCCAGAUGUGAAAGCCCCGGGCUCAACCUGGGAACUGCAUUUGAAACUGGCAGGCUAGAGUGUUGGAGAGGGGAGUAGAAUUGCCGGUGUAGCGGUGAAAUGCGUAGAGAUCGGAAGGAAUACCAGUGGCGAAGGCGGCCCCCUGGCCAAAGACUGACGCUCAGGUGCGAAAGCGAGGGGAGCAAACAGG